AGUCAUCGUAUCACACUGGACCACAUUAGUUAUCGUGUACCGCGUGAUUGAAGCGACCUCUUUUUAUUCCCGAGCACACAAGCAAUUUGCUGUUUCGAGUUGGUCGUCCUCGAGACGGAAGCAUCGGAAGAACGCCGCUGCUCGAAGGGUUUUGGAUAUCCUGGCGAUGUCAAUAUAUACCAAAUCAAGCCGAGCGCCGUGUGUUUGACGAAUUGCCUAAACCAAUAAUCCUCCUUUUGGAUUUGUUUUCUGUGGCACUCUCUGGUUCUCCCUUUGGAUCUGUUUUCUGCGGCACUCACAAGUUCUCAGGAGCGAAGGAAACGGCGUGGAAACAGGUAGAUUGCGGAUGGAGUGCGUUGUGCAAGGAAUAAUCGAGACGCAGCAUGUCGAUGCCCUCGAGAUUCUUCUUCAGGGCCUUUGUGGAGUUCCAAAGGAACGCAUUAGAGUUCAUGAGCUGUGUCUAAAAAGUGGACCGAGCCUUGCCGUGCCCUCUGAGAUCCGCCUCUUGUGUGAUUUAGCUCAGCCCACUCCGUCUUGGACCGUGCGCCAUGUUGGGGGCGCCAUGAGAGGUGCUGGCGCCGAGCAAAUCUCAGUUUUAGUUCGAACCAUGGUGGAAAGCAAAGUGAGCAACAACGCGCUGCGCUUCUUCUAUUCGCUUGGCUACAAGCUGGACCACGAGCUCCUCAAGAUAGGCUUCGCCUUCCGUUUCCAGCGAGGUGCGCCGAUCACCGUCACCGUGACCUCUGCCAACAAAAUGCCGAAGCUUCACGCGACAGACGAGGCUGUGCCCGUCACUCCUGGAAUCCAAAUGGUUGAAAUUACAGCGCCUACUGCUGGGGACAAUUACAAUGAAGUGGGUGCUGCUGUUUCUUCCUUCUGCGAAUAUUUGGCUCCGCUUUUGCAUCUCUCAAAACCCGGCGUUUCGACCGGUAUCGUUCCUACCGCUGCAGCCGCUGCAGCUUCGCUGCUGUCCAACACCGGUGGUAAGAUCAGCUAGUGACGAUUCCCUUCGUGUUUACUUAUGGACGGUAAACUGAAUCAUCUAUGAUUUUGAUAUUUAUGUUGGACUAAUAUGUCAAGAAAAAUGUCCCGUUUGCUAAGAUUUAUGUUUCAAAAAUUAUUUUUAGAUGAUAUUUGUGCAUAAUAAUAAUAGUCAUACAUACGGUCAAGAUGCAAUGCACGAAUCAACAAGAAGCCGGGGUCAUUUGGCUCCGUAUCGUACGGUGGUCGCGCUCGCAUCAUGGGACUUGAUCCUCCUCCUCCGCCUCCUCCAUCAGACGCCUUCGAGAGAAGCUAUUUAAAUCCCGUUUCGAAGUCUCCAAGAAAACUCGCAGCCGACGAGCCGAUUCCUCUCUUUUUACGCCCUAAAACCUCUCUCUCUCUCUCUCUCUCUCUCUCUCUUUUGCCUUCGUGAUCUCUCCGUCCAUUCUUCGCCUUCUCUCUUUUCUCCCUCGCACCCACGCCGACAUCACCGAGAAGGGAGAAGAGGACAAGGGAUGGAGGCGAUGCAAAGCCCUAAUGCUGGAUCGCGCCCGCUCGUCUGAUGGAAUCUUUCUUGUGAUGGCGUAUCGUUUCUUGAACUGGGUUGACCGAUAGAAUCGAGUUCCUGGGACGAUGCGCACCGUUUCUUCAACUAGAUUUGGUCCUCGUCAACAAGGGCGACAUCUUCUGGGCACGGGGAAACUGGACCUUUCGCUAUUUUCUGAUUGAUGUUCUGUUUUUGGCCUUUAUGCGCUUUCUUGCUUUGCGGUGAUCAUGAUCCCGGUGGUGUACCUUGAGGAGAGCGUACUUGUUUGGUAUGACGGAAUCGGACGCAUCUUUUCUUGAAUUAGAUCGACCGAUGGAACCGAGUUCUUGGGACGAUGGACCAUUUCUUGAACCAGAAGGGGCGAGAGCUUUUAGGAACGGGGAAUCCGGACAUUUUGCUUUCUCAACUGGCAUGGAACGGCGUGGAUCUUUCCCCCACACGUUCUUUGGCUGUAUGCGCUUUCUUGCUUUGCGAUGCUCAUGAAUGCUUCAGGUCUGUAGGCGUUUACCGAACGGGCAGGUCGCCGUCACUGCUUUUAGCAGAUUAUUUCUGUCCCUUUCUUCGUUUCUUUUUUAAUCUUGGUUUGUUUACAGCUGCUAACUUUGUGGAUUGAGGUUAAUUGCAUUCUUAUUUUUCUCUUUCA